UUCUUCAGAACAUAUUUUUGUUUUCACAGACUUAGGACGCGUUUCCUUUUUAGUCUCGAGUUUUGUCGCCUUCGGUGUGAUUUUUCUGUUGCUUUUUCGUAUUAAAAUAUAAUAUAAUCAUGCGCGAAAUCGUUCACUUGCAAGCCGGACAAUGCGGAAACCAGAUUGGUGCCAAGUUCUGGGAAGUCAUCAGUGACGAACACGGAAUUGACCCAACUGGAACCUACCAUGGUGACAGCGAUCUUCAACUAGAGAGGAUCAACGUCUAUUAUAAUGAAGCAACCGGUGGAAAAUAUGUCCCAAGGGCAAUCCUUGUCGAUUUAGAACCGGGCACAAUGGACUCUGUGAGAUCUGGCCCGUUCGGACAAAUUUUCAGACCAGAUAACUUCGUUUUCGGGCAAAGUGGUGCCGGUAACAAUUGGGCCAAAGGCCACUACACCGAAGGUGCAGAACUCGUAGAUUCAGUUUUAAGAUGUUGUUCGUAAAGAAGCAGAAAGCUGCGAUUGUCUUCAAGGUUUCCAACUUACACAUUCUCUUGGCGGAGGAACUGGGUCUGGAAUGGGAACUUUACUUAUUAGCAAAAUUAGAGAAGAGUAUCCAGAUCGAAUCAUGAACACAUUUAGCGUAGUCCCUUCACCAAAAGUAUCAGACACUGUGGUCGAACCAUACAAUGCAACUCUUUCAGUGCAUCAGUUGGUUGAAAAUACCGAUGAAACUUAUUGUAUUGAUAACGAGGCUUUGUACGACAUUUGCUUCCGAACAUUGAAACUCACCACACCAACAUAUGGAGAUUUGAACCAUCUUGUCUCUGCCACAAUGAGCGGUGUCACAACAUGUCUCCGAUUCCCAGGUCAACUCAACGCUGAUCUUCGUAAAUUGGCUGUCAACAUGGUUCCAUUCCCUCGUCUCCAUUUCUUCAUGCCUGGAUUUGCUCCUUUGACCAGCAGAGGUAGCCAGCAAUAUCGCGCUCUGACCGUUCCUGAGCUCACACAGCAAAUGUUCGAUGCCAAGAACAUGAUGGCUGCAUGUGAUCCAAGACAUGGACGCUACCUGACCGUUGCCACCAUGUUCCGUGGACGCAUGUCCAUGAAGGAAGUCGACGAGCAGAUGCUCAACGUACAAAACAAGAACAGCUCGUACUUCGUUGAAUGGAUUCCCAACAACGUCAAGACUGCUGUUUGCGACAUUCCACCCCGUGGUCUAAAGAUGGCUGCCACUUUUGUUGGAAACAGCACUGCCAUUCAGGAACUCUUCAAGCGUAUCUCUGAACAAUUCACUGCCAUGUUCAGAAGAAAGGCUUUCUUGCAUUGGUACACUGGAGAAGGUAUGGACGAGAUGGAAUUCACUGAAGCCGAAAGCAACAUGAACGACUUGGUGAGUGAAUAUCAACAAUACCAGGAUGCAACUGCAGAGGAAGAAGGUGAAUUUGAUGAAGAGGAGGAAGAUGAAGAUGUUGCGUAAAUGACCGACCAUCCAAUCAAUGUUUCUGUUUGAAGAAAAAAAAAACUUUGUAAAAAAAAAUAAAUACACUAUUUUUGCUUGGUGACUGGGACAUAAAUAUAUUUGGGUGAACACAGCUUUCAAAUAAAUUUCACUGGAUAGCUUU